rnacentral:tRNA from 1 species
UGGAAAGUGGCUCAGUGGUAGAGUGCUUGCCUUGCAUGCAUGAGGCCCUGGGUUCGAUUCCUCAGUACCAC